AUUGAACGCUGGCGGCAGGCCUAACACAUGCAAGUCGAGCGGUAACAGGGGUAGCUUGCUACCCGCUGACGAGCGGCGGACGGGUGAGUAAUGCAUAGGAAUUUACCCGAUAGUGGGGGAUAACCUGGGGAAACCCAGGCUAAUACCGCAUACGUCCUACGGGAGAAAGGGGGCUUCGGCUCCCGCUAUCGGAUGAGCCUAUGUCGGAUUAGCUGGUUGGUGAGGUAAUGGCUCACCAAGGCGACGAUCCGUAGCUGGUCUGAGAGGAUGAUCAGCCACAUCGGGACUGAGACACGGCCCGAACUCCUACGGGAGGCAGCAGUGGGGAAUAUUGGACAAUGGGGGCAACCCUGAUCCAGCCAUGCCACGUGUGUGAAGAAGGCCCUCGGGUUGUAAA
rnacentral:rRNA from 1 species